rnacentral:rRNA from 1 species
GACGAACGCUGGCGGCGUGCUUAACACAUGCAAGUCGAACGGAAGGGCCCUGCUUUUGUGGGGUGCUCGAGUGGCGAACGGGUGAGUAACACGUGAGUAACCUGCCCUUGACUUUGGGAUAACUUCAGGAAACUGGGGCUAAUACCGGAUAGGAGCUCCUGCUGCAUGGUGGGGGUUGGAAAGUUUCGGCGGUUGGGGAUGGACUCGCGGCUUAUCAGCUUGUUGGUGGGGUAGUGGCUUACCAAGGCUUUGACGGGUAGCCGGCCUGAGAGGGUGACCGGCCACAUUGGGACUGAGAUACGGCCCAGACUCCUACGGGAGGCAGCAGUGGGGAAUAUUGCACAAUGGGCGGAAGCCUGAUGCAGCAACGCCGCGUGCGGGAUGACGGCCUUCGGGUUGUAAACCGCUUUCGCCUGUGAUGAAGCGUGAGUGACGGUAAUGGGUAAAGAAGCACCGGCUAACUACGUG